GUCGGCGUAGCUCAGUUGGUUAGAGCACAGCACUCAUAAAGCUGAGGUCGGAGGUUCGAUCCCUCCCGCCGGCA
rnacentral:tRNA from 1 species